rnacentral:lncRNA from 1 species
CAGUUUUAAUGGCAUAUGCUAAGGAAGGAAAUGAAAGAUGAAUAUGUAUGUACAAGAGACCAGAUAUGACUCCACAGAACUUAAAAAUGUGCAGUGUAGGUUUC